rnacentral:rRNA from 1 species
GAGCGUUGUCCGGAAUUACUGGGCGUAAAGAGCUCGUAGGUGGUUUGUAGCGUUGUCCGUGAAAACUCACAGCUUAACUGUGGGCGUGCGGGCGAUACGGGCAGACUGGAGUACUGCAGGGGAGACUGGAAUUCCUGGUGUAGCGGUGGAAUGCGCAGAUAUCAGGAGGAACACCGGUGGCGAAGGCGGGUCUCUGGGCAGUAACUGACGCUGAGGAGCGAAAGCGUGGGGAGCGAACAGG